UUCCUUUUUACAACCACACCUGCGUCAUAUGGAAAUUCCUGGGCUAGGUGUCAAAUCAAACAAAUCAGAGCUGUAGCUGCUGGCCUAUACCACAGCCAUAGCAACUACGGUUCCGAGCUGCAUUUGGGAGACCUACACCAGAGCUUGCAGCGACGCCAGAGCCUUAACCCACUGAGCAAGGCCAGGGAUCAAAUCCACACCCUCAUGGACACUAUGUCGGGUUCUUAAUUUGAUGAGCCACAACAGGAACUCAUCAUUUUAGACUUUUGACCCCUAGAAUUGUGAGAUAAUAAAUUUGCAUUGUUUUAAGCUAUUAAGUACAUAGUCAUUUGUGACAGCAGCAAUAGGCAACUUACACAUUUCUUUAAAUUCAGACUUAACGAGGCUUCUCCCCUUCCAGAGGCCUUCAUCUAGAUCCUGGGGAUUUGUCAUGGUGCUAAGAUACUGAGAGGGGUACACACCUGGACAGGCAUCCAUCCCCAUGCAGCUGCUGACAAAGGGCUAUUUCCCCCUGUGUGGCCCCUUCAGCCCCAUGGAUCCCUCUGCUGCCCCAGAACACAGAAUCAGGAAGAAGCUACAAGGAUAAUUGACCUUCUGCUUCCAGAGGCAGCAACAUCGAUUGUAGGAAAAGCAAGAAAAAAUGUCAUAAGAUGUCCUAAAUAUAAAGCUGUUUCCUUUUUUCUGCUUUUACCUGGUACUGUAUUUGCUAUUUAAAGCUAGUCUAAGAAAAGAAAAAUUAAAAUAUGAAACAAUUACCAUGAAUAUCACUAUUCAUCUUUACAUUGUGCAAUGCCAGUUUUAAAAGAAGAUACAGGAGCAUUUGCACAAUUCCUAAAUUACGCAAUUUGUCACAGGCAGCUAGAACAUACGUGUGGAUUUCGUUUUUACCAGAACUGUGGAAACUCUGCAGGAAACUAACUCAACUGCUUUUAUUUCACUUCUAGACAUACGCAUGGUCUACCAACACACUCUACCUUCUGGUUGCUCAUGGGUCGGGAAGACUGGAAGGAAAGGCACUGCGGUUGUCCCGUCAUUCCCUUUCCUUCCAUGUCAUUGAUUUCAGCACAAGUGGUUGAUGACCACAAGGACCAUGAGGACGUACACAAGGAAGAGAGGAUAUGCUGGGUUCCUUGGUUGAGGUCAGUCCCAUUUCUUAGGCGCCAUCACCUACCUUCUGUUCUUGAAGCAAGUUCUGGAUCUGAUGGGAAACUUGGGCCCCCAGGGCUGUCUGUGCAGUGCCCUUGAUCACUCUGUCACAGACAGAACAUACUCUGUUGAGUCCACUGGAAUUGACUGCAAAACAGUCCUCUGCUCAUGCAUAUGCUCGGUUUUCCCACCACACUUCAACGACAAAACAAGUUCAAUGUGGUUUUGAAGAAGGCAGCCCCAGAGCAUUAAACCAAGCACAUGGUCCUUCUGAGAGCUACUUCUGCCCUGGACUCUUACUUCUUCCCUAAGCCUUCUGUCUAGGAUGUUGGGCUCAAGGACCCUGUCCUUCAUUUCUCCCUGUCCCCACUUUCCCAAGUCCAAAGGAAUCUUUACCUAUGUGGGGAGAAAGGAAAUGAAUCUUUCUCCUCUAUUUUUUCCUAAACCUUGGGUCUAUACCUAGAAUCCUCUCCAUUGCCCUAAGGACUUAGGCCAUAUGCACAGCCCCAAAAAGCAUGAAGGCUUCGAAUGCCCUUUUCAGUCCCAUUCUUACUCAUUUCCAAGGUGGCCACUGGCGAGCUUCCUGGGCUCUUCACUCCGUUUUCUGGAUCCUCACUUCCCCUUGGGGCAUGUCCGGUCUUACUUACUCCCCAGAUGGGAUUGGUAAAGGUAACUUAGCCUAACCUAGCCUUUUUUUUUUUUUUCUUGAAGUCUAUGAUUCUUAACAUUUUGUUCCAGUUGCAAAGUCACGCCAGGCUGUACUUCUUAGGACUGGUGACUCCUCCAGGUGGCAAGACUCUGGGAGCCUCUUUAAGGAAUUUUGCUCUCCAGGGCCAGUACAUUAUGGGUUAAAUAGAAUUGUGUAGGUCAGCGUAAGCUAGUUCUCUGAGGCACUGAAAAUUAUGUUAUCUCUCUCUAAUUGUGUAAUAAAAUAUGACUGACAUAUAAAUUCCAUUUCUCUUCCAAUGCACAUUCUUAUAAAAACUCAAUAAAAUAGUUUUUAUUGAGAAGAACAGGUUCUGAUACUUCUUUUAGCUUCCUCAACAGGUUGCCAGCUUUCUUUUACAUAUAAAUAAGGUGGAUGCAGUUAAUUACAUGCUUAAAUGCAAGUGUAUUUAAAAUAUUUUAUUAUUACUGUCGAAGUCAUUACUCAAAGGUAAUGUGAAAACCAUAUGCAAUUGCACAGACUGAAGAUACUUUUAUUUUAAGGUUUUCUGCCUUAAAGGAGGAAAGUGUCAUAAAAUCCUGAAAAAAACACAUCUCUCCUAAAAACUUUAUCAGCAUGCCUGUGUAGAUUAAAAAGAAAAAUUCCCCUUUGUGAGUCUAUGUGUGUGUAGGUGGACGGAAGGACUUUUAGAACUAUUUACAAUCAUUUGUUUAUAUUGUUCACAGAUGAAGAGGAAAAAAAAAUCCCUGGCAAAGUAAAAACCAGUUUAAUUGCUUUUCUCUUCUGUAUGAUCUCAUCGAAAUAAAAUCCUCAAGCCUGAUUCUUCCAAACAAGAUCAAAUUGUUUUGCAUUUAUACGGCUCCCUGUUUAUUUAUUAAAAUCCUUCUUGAGAGCAUGUAACAUCAAGAAGAAAAAGAACGAAACUUGCAGGUUACAGGUGUUAAGGCUGACCAACAGUUGUGUAUUUAUACUCCACUCCAGGGGGCGCCAUUGACAUUGCACUCUGCAUCAGGCCACCAGUGACCCUGGCAUCCACUUUCCUGUUGUUUCUUAAUGUUUCUUCUUAUUUCUAAAUUUGGAGCAGAGGUUAGGAACAUGGUGACUGCUUAGUCUUAAAUCUUCCCACUUCUCCUGGAAACCAAAUAGAGCAGCAAGGAGAAUAAAAAUAAAGCCAUGAAAUACAUCUUCGGUGAAAAUAGGAGACAGAGAAAAAUUCACAACUCCAAAUUAUGUGUAAAUGUAGCCAAAAGAAACUAAGACCAGCAAGUACUGAGCAGGAAGCUGCCACAAUGUAGUGGGCAAGAAUAGAGAGCUUAGAGUGGGUCUUUCGGUAUCAAAUGUUAGAAAUCAACAAAUAUCCCAACCUGGGUAAAACCUAUUUGGACAGAAAUUAAAUAUGCCAGGGCAUCAUGCUGGAGAAGGUGGACAGAGGCAUGAAAAUUAGUGAGGAGAACCCAGAAAAGGCAAAUC
rnacentral:lncRNA from 1 species